UGGGGAAUAUUGGACAAUGGAGGAAACUCUGAUCCAGCAAUUCUGUGUGUGUGAAGAAGGUUUUAGGACUGUAAAACACUUUUAGUAGGGAAGAAAAAAAUGACGGUACCUACAGAAGAAGCAACGGCUAAAUACGUGCCAGCAGCCGCGGUAAUACGUAUGUUGCGAGCGUUAUCCGGAAUUAUUGGGCUUAAAGGGCAUCUAGGCGGUAAGACAAGUUGAAGGUGAAAACCUGUGGCUCAACCAUAGGCUUGCCUACAAAACUGUUGAACUAGAGUACUGGAAAGGUGGGUGGAACUACACGGGUAGAGGUGAAAUUCGUAGAUAUGUGUAGGAAUGCCGAUGAUGAAGAUAACUCACUGGACAGAAACUGACGCUGAAGUGCGAAAGCUAGGGGAGCAAACAGG
rnacentral:rRNA from 1 species